rnacentral:sRNA from 1 species
UAUAGGCUUGUCCGUCUCGAAGUAGAGC